UUAUUCCAGAACUACCUAAAAGACGUUAUCACGAUGGGGAGACGCAGGAGGCUAUGCGAGCCUACGAUUGGACGUGUAGGUUCAGGCCUGUAGGGGGAUCCGCCCGGCAAAUCCGGUGGGUCAUAUUCCCUGAGGGGCUAUGGCAAGAGCCGUAAGGCUCAUAAAGUCGCAGACGCCACGCUGCCAAGAAAAUCCUCUAAGGAGUCUUUUGGGUACCCGUACCGCAAACCGACACAGGUAGGCGAGGAGAAAAUCCUCAGGUGCGAGUGAGAACCCUCGUUUAGGAACUCGGCAAACUCACCCCGUAACUUCGGAAGAAGGGGUGCUCCGUUAGCGUUAGGUGGUUCGCCCACCGAAGCGUGAGGGAGUUGCAAUAAAGAGGCCCAGGCAACUGUUUACUAAAAACACAGGGCUAUGCUAAGUCGAAUACGACGUAUAUGGCCUGACGCCUGCCCGGUGCCGGAAGGUUAAAGGGAGAGGUUAGUCGCAAGGCGAAGCUUCGAGCUGAAGCCCCGGUAAACGGCGGCCGUAACUAUAACGGUCCUAAGGUAGCGAAAUUCCUUGUCGGGUAAGUUCCGACCUGCACGAAUGGCGUAAUGAUCUGGGCGCUGUCUCAACGAGGGGCACUGCGAAUUUGUGGUACCGGUGAAGACGCCGGUUGCCCGUGACUAGACGAAAAGACCCCGUGCACCUUUACUACAUCCUAGUAGUGAAUGCUGACGCGCUAUGCGCAGGAUAGGUGGGAGGCUUUGAACCCGGGUUUUUGGACUCGGGGGAGCCAACGGUGAGAUACCACCCUAAGCGCUUCGGCGUUCUAACCUCGUUCUGUCAUCCAGAAUAGGAACAUUGCUAGGUGGGUAGUUUGACUGGGGCGGUCGCCUCCUAAACUGUAACGGAGGCGCGCGAAGGUUCGCUCAGGCUGUUUGGAAAUCAGCCUUAGAGUGCAAAAGCAGAAGCGAGCUUGACUGUGAGUCCUACAAGACGAACAGGUGGGAAACCAGGCUUUAGUGAUCCGGUGGUUCCGCGUGGAAGGGCCAUCGCUCAACGGAUAAAAGGUACGCCGGGGAUAACAGGCUGAUCUGAGCCAAGAGUUCACAUCGACGCUCAGGUUUGGCACCUCGAUGUCGGCUCAUCGCAUCCUGGAGCUGUAGCAGGUUCCAAGGGUCCGGCUGUUCGCCGGUUAAAGCGGUACGUGAGCUGGGUUUAGAACGUCGCGAGACAGUUCGGUCUCUAUCUGUCAUGGGCGCAGGAGAUUUGAGUGGGGCUGACCUUAGUACGAGAGAACCGGGUUGGACGGACCUCUAGUGUAUCGGUUGUCGCGCCAGCGGCAGCGCCGAGUAGCUACGUCCGGAAGGGAGAAACGCUGAAUGCAUCUAAGCGUGAAACCCUCCACAAGAUGAGAUCUCCCUGGAUCGCAAGAUCCCUAAAGGCUCCUGGAAGAUGACCAGGCAAUAGGUCGGGUGUGUAAGCGUGGUGACACGUUGAGCUUACCGAUACUAAUCAGCCGUGAGGCUUGACC
rnacentral:rRNA from 1 species